UACGGAGGGGGCUAGCGUUGUUCGGAAUUAUUGGGCGUAAAGCGCGUGUAGGCGGCUUAGCAAGUCGGGCGUGAAAGCCCUCGGCUCAACCGAGGAAGUGCACCCGAAACUGCUGAGCUUGAGUGCCGGAGAGGAUGGCGGAAUUCCCCAAGUAGAGGUGAAAUUCGUAGAUAUGGGGAGGAACACCGGUGGCGAAGGCGGCCAUCUGGACGGUAACUGACGCUGAGACGCGAAAGCGUGGGUAGCAAACAGG
rnacentral:rRNA from 1 species